GUCAGGAAUGGUGGCAUAUGCCUGUAAUUACAGCUACUGAAUGAACUGAAGAUGGCAGAUUUCUUGAGUUUGGGAGUUCUGAGAUACAGGGGCUAUGAUGAUCAAGUGUGCAUAUGAAGUCUGGCACCAAUAUCGUGAGCCCCUAUAAGUAUGGAGACCACCAGGUUACCUAAGAAGGGGAAAACCCACUCAGGUCAGAAACAGAGCAGGUCAAAGCUUCCCUGAUGAUUGGUAGUGAAAUUAGACCAUGAGUAAAUAGCCCUUGUACUUUCAGUCUAGACAAGAUGGGGAAA
rnacentral:SRP_RNA from 1 species